UACGGAAUGUGCAAACGUUAUUCGGAAUCACUGGGCUUAAAGAGUCCGUAGGCGGCAUGUUAGGUGAGGUGUGAAAUCCCCCGGCUCAACCGAGGAAUUGCGCUUCAAACCGGCGUGCUAGAGGAGGAUAGAGGUGGGCGGAACUGAUGGUGGAGCGGUGAAAUGCGUUGAUAUCAGGAGGAACACCGGUGGUGUAGACGGCUUUCUGGACCGUAACUGACGCUGAGACACGAAAGCGUGGGUAGCAAACAGG
rnacentral:rRNA from 1 species